AUUGAACGCUGGCGGCAUGCUUUACACAUGCAAGUCGGACGAGUGGCGAACGGGUGAGUAAUAUAUCGGAACGUACCGAGCACUGGGGGAUAACUAAUCGAAAGAUUAGCUAAUACCGCAUAUUAUUCGAGCGGCCGAUAGCUAAUUAGCUAGUUGGUGGGGUAAAGGCAUAUCAAGGCGACGAGCAGUAGCGGGUCUGAGAGGAUGAUCGGCCACACUGGGACUGGGACACGGCCCGAACUCCUACGGUAGGCAGCAGUGGGGAAUUUUGGGCAAUGGGCGCAAGCGUGAUCCAGCCAUGCCGCGUGUCUGAAGAAGGCCUUCGGGUUGUAAAGGACUUUUGUCAGGGAAGCGGUACCUAAAGAAUAAGCACCGGCUAACUACGUGCCAGCAGCCGCGGUAAUAC
rnacentral:rRNA from 1 species